AUGUUAGAAGGUGCUAAAUCAAUAGGUGUCGGAGCUGCUGUCGGUAUUGGAAACGUCCUCAAUUCUUUGAUUCAUUCCGUGGCGCGAAAUCCAUCAUUGGCUAAACAAUCAUUUGGUUAUGCCAUUUUGGGCUUUGCUCUCACCGAAGCUAUUGCAUUGUUUGCCCCAAUGAUGGCCUUUCUGAUCUCAUUCGUUUUCUGA
rnacentral:rRNA from 1 species